CUACACGGGUAUCUAAUCCUGUUUGCUCCCCACGCUUUCGUGCAUGAGCGUCAGUGUUAUCCCAGGGGGCUGCCUUCGCCAUCGGUAUUCCUCCACAUAUCUACGCAUUUCACUGCUACACGUGGAAUUCUACCCCCCUCUGACACACUCUAGCCGUGCAGUCACAAAUGCAAUUCCCAGGUUAAGCCCGGGGAUUUCACAUCUGUCUUGCACAACCGCCUGCGCACGCUUUACGCCCAGUAAUUCCGAUUAACGCUUGCACCCUACGUAUUACCGCGGCUGCUGGCAC
rnacentral:rRNA from 1 species